GACGAACGCUGGCGGCGUGCUUAACACAUGCAAGUCGAACGGAAAGGCCCAGCUUGCUGGGUACUCGAGUGGCGAACGGGUGAGUAACACGUGGGUGAUCUGCCCUGCACUCUGGGAUAAGCCUGGGAAACUGGGUCUAAUACCGGAUAUGACCGACUGUCGCAUGGUGGUUGGUGGAAAGCUUUUGCGGUGUGGGAUGGGCCCGCGGCCUAUCAGCUUGUUGGUGGGGUAAUGGCCUACCAAGGCGACGACGGGUAGCCGACCUGAGAGGGUGAUCGGCCACACUGGGACUGAGACACGGCCCAGACUCCUACGGGAGGCAGCAGUGGGGAAUAUUGCACAAUGGGCGCAAGCCUGAUGCAGCGACGCCGCGUGAGGGAUGACGGCCUUCGGGUUGUAAACCUCUU
rnacentral:rRNA from 1 species